AGGAAACACAGGACGGUUGCAUGCAUCCCUCCUCUUCAGCCCUGCCUACCAUUCAGGGCACAUUGCUGGGGAAAUGUUCUCAUUGUGGAAAGAAAUCUCUACAAGCAGCCGAUGAAACAGUAAAGUGCCACUGCUGUGCCUGAGUGGAGUUAUCAUCCAUGGGGAGCACCAGCUCAUAAGGUGUACAAUGCUGAGUGUGUUUUCCUGGAUUGUGGUGCUGAGAGGCAAUUUGUUCAUCAUCUGGGGAGAUAAGCAUUCAACAUCAUUGUCCUUCCUCCUCCAAAGGAACCCUUUGUUUUCAUGUUAGUUUUGCUCUUCCUCACGCCAGCCAUUCCAUCUCCUUCAAGUG
rnacentral:lncRNA from 1 species